rnacentral:piRNA from 1 species
UUUCGAUAAAAGUGGCAAAAA